CAGUGCUGAAGUCGUCUAUACUAGUAAACGAAAAUUAUGAUAUUUUAAAGUCAGUGUAUUUCUAAACACCAGAACUGCAAUAAUAUUCUCAACGUGCGUUUCAUCAAACAAGUUGGCAUCUUCAUGUGAAAUAGGCUGCUUCAUAUCCUGCAGGCGCCAACUUGAUUGGUGAAACGCACGUCAGGAAGAGUGUUGCAUUUCCGAGGUUUGGAAGCAGUGCUUGUUUUGGAUUUAUAAAUGAAACGUUCAAAAUCAAAGAGCCACUUUCAACAAAUAACUAUAAUUUUGCUGAAAAUAUUAACUGACAGCUGCAUAACCAAGAAAUUCAAAAUUCUUGAGCCUGAAAAGGUUAACUGAUAUUUCUCAUCACAGAUGUGGUGGAAGGUCAUCUUCGUUUCAUUCAGGAUUGGAGUCCAGCUCCCUUACCCUUUUGGCUGAUUAAUUUCAUAUGUCAUAUUCAAUUGACCUUAUUAAGUGAUGCGACCCCAUGGUUGCCAACUGAGGAAAAAUAAUAACAUUUGACAUUUGCUAAUGAAUAAAUAACCUAUCUUUCUGAGUUA